ensembl:snoRNA
UUUGACGUCUAUCCCGAUGGGGCUUUUCCUGUAGCCAUACAUUGUUGGAAUCGCCUCAUACAGAAACAUAGUGGUUUUCCUUUACUCACAGGUUUAUUUCUUAGGUCUGUGAGUUGGAACUACAAGACAGCU